GCCGCGGUAGCCAAGCCCGGGAAGGCGCCAGGCUGAAGACCUGGUCAUCGCCGGUUCAAAUCCGGCCCGCGGCA
rnacentral:tRNA from 2 species